rnacentral:tRNA from 1 species
GCCGGGAUGGAGGAAUCGGGAGACUCGAUGGAUUCAAAAUCCAUUGCCUUCACGGGCGUGCGGGUUCGAGUCCCGCUCCCGGCA